CCAGACUCCUACGGGAGGCAGCAGUGGGGAAUAUUGCACAAUGGGGGAAACCCUGAUGCAGCAACGCCGCGUGAGUGAAGAAGUCAUUCGUGAUGUAAAGCUCUAUCAGCAGGGAAGAAAAUGACGGUACCUGAGUAAGAAGCCCCGGCUAACUACGUGCCAGCAGCCGCGGUAAUACGUAGGGGGCAAGCGUUAUCCGGAUUUACUGGGUGUAAAGGGCGUGUAGCCGGGCUGACAAGUCAGAUGUGAAAUCCGGGGGCUCAACCCCCGAACUGCAUUUGAAACUGUUGGUCUUGAGUGUCGGAGAGGUAAUCGGAAUUCCUUGUGUAGCGGUGAAAUGCGUAGAUAUAAGGAAGAACACCAGUGGCGAAGGCGGAUUACUGGACGAUAACUGACGGUGGGGCGCGAAAGCGUGGGGAGCAAACAGGAUUAGAUACCCCCGUACUG
rnacentral:rRNA from 1 species